UUUUUCCUUGGGGGGUGCAAUGGAGGCCGUGUAAAGCCCAGUCCAGGGCAGGCUGAGAGAAUCGUCAGCUUAGGAGCCUGUCCCCUGUGACUUAUUUCUGAGGCCCUGGGUGAGAGAGGCUGUAUCAAAACUGAGUGUGACAUGGAGAGACUGAGGCCUCAGCAGCACAGCCACCAGUGACAAGAACAAAGAACCUGUGAUAUGGUGCAUGGCAUGGUGACCCCACAGCUGAUUCAGCUCUUCUCUACUGCUAAGCCUGGAGUGUUUCCAGUGUUUCACUCUAAGUGUCACAAGGACCCCCUGAAGCACCCGUCAUCCUGUGUGAUGACCUGUUUGGCGAUAUUCCCCUCACAAGACCAUAGGCUCCUUACCUUCAGAGACCUGCAUGUCCUGAGUCCACCGUGACAAGCACACCACCUGGCCGGGGGACUGCCCAAUGAGGAUUGUGAGAUGAAAGAACGAUGGGUGACGAACUGAACGAGCGGUCACUGAAUGCAUUCAGCCUGCCUGCCCAUCCAGCACACCUGACCCCACAGGAUGAGGAGGAAGCAGAGGAUGCCACCUCCCACGGCAGCGUGCUCCCGAGGCUGGCGCUGAAGACAUUUGCAUGGCGUCUGCUAUGAGUCAGGAAGCUGCAGGCCCUCAUGGGAGGUGUGACCAUAGACCACACUUCCUUGACUGGAGGAAAGAUGUUUGGGAAAUAACCAAGAGAAGAUUCUCCAUGAAUAUUAACAUAUGGCAGGCUCUGCGAAGACCUAGAGAAAACGUAUUAAGACAAAUGGCUUCACCCCUGAACACAGGGGGAACCAGACACUCUAUAUGCAGUUCAACAUCCCCGAGGUUCCUGUGAGUUUAACAUACAGCUGUGGAGCACGACAGACCUCUGCAGAAAGUACUGGGAAAUGGUCCUUCAACAAUACAUUACCAGGAAGUUUGCCUGUAAUAACUGCGGAAGGGACAAGCGAAAAGGUCAGAGACGGUCUGAGUUAAGCAUUGAUUUGAAAGGUACAGGGCAAAUCCUUCAGUGGACUGAUCGGGGAAAAAGGAGGCAGCUCUGGUUUCCAACACCAGGAAUGAAAGAGGGAGCCACACUAUAGAUCCUGCAGUCAUCAAAAGGAUCAUCAGGCAAUAUUAUGGUCAAUGUUAUGCCAAUGAAUUUCACAACUUAGAGGAUAUGGACUAAGCUGGACCUCAACUGACGGCUUUUGUACUGAAUUGUGAAAACACUAGAGGGAAAGGAAAUAAAGUGAAAGAGGAAAAGGAGGAGCCUAACCAGGACAAAUAUGCAAAGACGUAGACUGUCACUGUCUUGAGGAAAUAGACAUAUGGUCUUCGUGGCUGGCAACCUCCAAAACGGCUCUUCUUGAUCUUCUCACCCCUGUGUAAGAGCCUCCUUUUGAAGGUGGCCUGGAC
rnacentral:lncRNA from 1 species